GGAUUUGGGCUUGAAAUUGUAUAAAUAUGGGGGUAAUGUCAAGGAAAGUAGUGCCUGCAUGUGGUAGUCUCUGCUUCUUUUGUCCAUCAUUGCGAGCAAGGUCAAGACAGCCUGUUAAACGCUACAAGAAGCUCCUUGGAGAGAUUUUCCCCAAAUCACAGGAUGCUGAGCCAAAUGAUAGAAAGAUUGCAAAACUUUGUGAGUAUGCUUCAAGAAACCCAUUGAGAAUACCAAAGAUUACCGAAUACCUGGAGCAAAGGUGUUACAAAGAUUUGCGAAAUGAGCACCUUGGGUCAGUAAAAGUUGUUACAAUGAUCUACAGGAAGCUGCUAUCUUCAUGUAAGGAGCAGAUGCCACUAUAUGCUGCUAGUCUAUUGGGGAUUAUCCGCACUCUUUUUGAACAAACACAGCAUGAUGAAAUGCAGAUUUUAGGUUGCAACACUCUAGUCGACUUCAUCAAUUGCCAGAUGGAUGGUACUUACAUGUUCAACUUAGAAGGCCUUAUACCUAAACUGUGCCAACUAGCUCGAGAAGUUGGAGAUGAUGACAGAGCCUUGCGCUUGCGUUCUGCAGGAAUGCAAACUUUGGCUGUCUUGGUGUGGUUUAUGGGGGAGCAGUCUCAUAUCUCCAUUGACUUUGAUCAUAUUAUUACUGCAACUUUGGAGAAUUACAUUGACUUCACAGUGAACCUAGAAAAUGGACAAGACAGUAAACAGUCUGAACCUUCAGAACAGUGGGUUCAAGGAGUGUUGAAUAGUGAUGAUCACAGCUCAUCUUUCCCUGAUAUGAGCAAGAAGGUUUCCUCCUCGCCAAAUAGCAUGAAUGCAAAUAUAAAAUUGACAUCCUCAAUAGAGACAGCCAAAAGCCCCUCUUAUUGGGCCAGAGUUUGCUUACGUAACAUGGCCUUACUGACAAAAGAAGCAACUAGUGUACGGCGGGUUCUUGAACCUCUUUUUCAUAGUUUUGACACUGAAAACUAUUGGGCGUCAGAGAAAGGACUCGCCUGCUCAGUGCUCAUGCAUUUGCAGUGCCUGCUAGAGGAAUCAGGUGAAAAUUCUCAUUUGUUGCUAUCCAUCUUGGUCAAGCAUUUGGAUCACAAGAACAUUAUCAAGCAGCCUGACAUACAGAUCAGUAUAGUUAAUGUGGUCACACACUUGGUAGAAAGUGCAAAAGAGAAGGCUUCCGCAACUAUAGUUGGUGUCAUUAAUGACCUGAUUAAACAUUUACGGAAGUGCAUGCAGUAUUCAACUGAAGCAUCUAGUCCAAAAGAUGGAUUAAAUACUUCUAACUCCAAUCUUCAGUCUGCCCUAGAGAAGUGCAUAUUACAGCUCUCAAAGAAGCAGGUUGCUGAUGUGGGCCCUAUACUUGAUAUGAUGGGCAUGGUGCUAGAGAACAUUCCAGCUAGCACCGUCGCUGCUAGAUCAACGAUUGCAGCUGUGUAUCGCACAGCACAAAUUGUUUCUUGCAUUCCAAAUGUGUCAUAUUACAGGAAGGCUUUUCCAGAUGCUCUCUUUCUCCACUUGCUCUUGGCAAUGGCACACACUGACCAUGAAACACGAGCUGUAGCACACCAUAUAUUCUCCACUGUGCUUAUGCCACCUGUCAGUCCCUUGUCAUCUCUACAUAGUAGAACUUCUUCCCAGAGUAUUCUAGUCCAAUCACCAAGGAAGUUGGCUAAGGUUAGAACUAAGAGUUUCUCCGUUCAAGAUAGAAAUACAGAUGGAAAUGGUUCUAGAGAUGGAGAAGUGGGAGAAGAAAAUGAAGAUGUCAGUUGCCAUUCACAUCAAUCUGGUGACUCUCGAUCUCAAAGUCAAUCCUGUGGCUUCAAGGAUGCCCUACCUGACAGGAAAUCUGAGCUCAUUUCGCUUCGGUUGAGUAGUCACCAAGUGAGUCUUCUGCUUUCAUCUAUCUGGGUUCAGGCAACACUGACUGAUAACACACCUUCCAAUUUUGAUGCGAUGGCCCAUACGUACAAAAUUGUUUUACUUUUCAUUCGAUCAAAGAAUUCUAGUCAUAUGGCGCUUGUUCGGUCUUUCCAGUUAGCCUUCUCUCUAAGGACUAUUUCGAUGGAUAAAGAAGGAGGUUUACAACCAUCUCGAAGGAGGUCUCUAUUUACUUUGGCAUCAUAUAUGCUCAUCUGUUCAGCAAGGGCGGGCAAUCUCCCUGAACUAAGUCGUGUGGUUAAAUCAUCACUGACAGAUGAAAUGGUUGAUCCUUAUCUUAAGUUGGGAGAAGAUGUGAGGCUGCAAACGGCAUCUGGUAGUGAAACAUAUGGUUAUGGCUCACAGGAAGAUGAAAUUGCAGCUUUGCAAUCCCUGUCAGCAGUAGAGUUAAACGAUGAAAAAUUUAAAGAAAUCAUUAUGUUGCACUUCACAUCUAAAUGCGGAAUAUUGUCAGAGGAUGAGUUACCAAGCAUAAGAAAACAACUCCUGGAAAGGUUUGAACCAGACGAUGCAUAUCCACUUGGGAUUCCUCUGUAUAUGGAAACGCCUCACCCCUGCUCUCCACUUGCUCAGAUUGAGUUCGAGACUUUUGAUGAGGUCAUGGCACCACCUUCCCUCAUAGAUGAAGAAACAAUUUCAGAUGCUAAUGGAAGCCAAUCAGGUCGAAAGACAUCUAUGUCUAUCAAUUCCCUUGACAUUCUAAGUGUUAACCAACUUUUGGAAUCGGUUCUGGAAACUGCCCGACAAGUUGCAAGCUACCCAACUUCCUCUACACCGAUACCCUAUGACCAAGUAAAAAAUCAGUGUGAGGCCCUUGUUACUGGUAAACAACACAAGAUGUCAUCCCUUCAGAGUUUCAAGAUGCAACAGGAAACCAAGGCAUUAAUAUCCUACAAUGAAAAUGACAGGAAGAACCCUUCUUUACCAAAGAUGGAUAUGGUGCUUCACCAGGAUCUACAAUUAACAACAGUUGAAUCAACUCAUACACAAAACUCUCUCUCUUGUUCUCGGGAGUAUGGACAACAGUCCUUUAGGCUGCCACCUUCAAGCCCCUACGAUAAGUUCUUGAAAGCAGCAGGAUGCUGAGUUUGAUGUUUUUACUUACACGUAGCUUCUAAUACUUGUAAGUAUUGUCUCAAGCAUGUUCAUAUCUCGUCUUCAUAUUAAUGUGAAGUGUGUAAGCUGGAAAACAUAAGCGGAAAUAAUAUAUGAGAAAAGGAAAAGAGAAAGAAAUGAUGGUCUGUAGUGUCUUUCUACCUUUUUGUAUCUUUGCUGAA